ACUGAGACACGGCCCAGACUCCUACGGGAGGCAGCAGUAGGGAAUCUUCCGCAAUGGACGAAAGUCUGACGGAGCAACGCCGCGUGAGUGAUGAAGGUUUUCGGAUCGUAAAGCUCUGUUGUUAGGGAAAAACCAAGUGCGAGAGUAACUGCUCGCACCUUUGACGGUACCUAACCAAAAAGCCACGGCUAACUACGUGCCAGCAGCCCCCGGUAAUACGUAGGUGGCAAGCGUUGUCCGGAAUUAUUGGGCGUAAAGGGCUCGCCAGGCGGUUUCUUAAGUCUGAUGUGAAAGCCCCCGGCUCAACCCGGGAGGGUCAUUGGAAACUGGGAAACUUGAGUGCAGAAGAGGAGAGUGGAAUUCCCACGUGUAGCGGUGAAAUGCGUAGAGAUGUGGAGGAACACCAGUGGCGAAGGCGACUCUCUGGUCUGUAACUGACGCUGAGGAGCGAAAAGCGUGGGGGAGCGAACAGGAUUAGAUACCCUGGUAGUCCACGCCGUAAACGAUGAGUGCUAAGUGUUAGGGGGGUUUCCGCCCCUUAGUGCUGCAGCUAACGCAUUAAGCACUCCGCCUGGGGAGUACGGUCGCAAGACUGAAACUCAAAGGAAUUGACGGGGGCCCGCACAAGCGGUGGAGCAUGUGGUUUAAUUCGAAGCAACGCGAAGAACCUUACCAGGUCUUGACAUCCUCUGACAACCCUAGAGAUAGGGCUUUCCCUUCGGGGACAGAGUGACAGGUGGUGCAUGGUUGUCGUCAGCUCGUGUCGUGAGAUGUUGGGUUAAGUCCCGCAACGAGCGCAACCCUUGAUCUUAGUUGCCAGCAUUCAGUUGGGCACUCUAAGGUGACUGCCGGUGACAAACCGGAGGAAGGUGGGGAUGACGUCAAAUCAUCAUGCCCCUUAUGACCUGGGCUACACACGUGCUACAAUGGACAGAACAAAGGGCUGCAAGACCGCAAGGUUUAGCCAAUCCCAUAAAUCUGUUCUCAGUUCGGAUCGCAGUCUGCAACUAGACUGCGUGAAGCUGGAAUCGCUAGUAAUCGCGGAUCAGCAUGCCGCGGUGAAUACGUUCCCGGGCCUUGUAUCACACCGCCCGUCA
rnacentral:rRNA from 1 species